rnacentral:rRNA from 1 species
UACGUAGGGUGCAAGCGUUAAUCGGAAUUACUGGGCGUAAAGCGUGCGCAGGCGGUUCGGAAAGAAAGAUGUGAAAUCCCAGGGCUUAACCUUGGAACUGCAUUUUUAACUGCCGGGCUAGAGUAUGUCAGAGGGGGGUAGAAUUCCACGUGUAGCAGUGAAAUGCGUAGAGAUGUGGAGGAAUACCGAUGGCGAAGGCAGCCCCCUGGGCUAACACUGACGCUCAUGCACGAAAGCGUGGGGAGCAAACAGG